rnacentral:lncRNA from 1 species
GCUUGGGUGAAUUCCUCAACCUUUGUAUUGUCAAUUACAUAAUGCUUCUUGUAAUGUCUAACUUGCAUGGUGAGGAAGGUUGAACGACUUGUCCUACUCAAGACGCAAUGAAAUGCUUUUUCUGGACAAUAAGGAUUGGGAGGAGGAGGUCUUGAGGCUGACAGGAAUAUUGUCACGUGAAGACCCUGGUCGGAGGUACUCACUGAUCUGGCUGCCCGUGACAGUGAAGAGAUUAAAUCCUCUUUUGUUUCCCAAACUGGCACUGACUCUGUUAAUGGAGACAAGGUCAGAGCCUCUGCAGCUGGCUGUUGCCUGUGCCAGGGCUGAAGCACGUUGCAGGAGGGAUGGAGGACCCAGUGCUGGCAAACUCAUUAUAAUUCAGUGCCUUGUAACAAGGUGGAUUAAGAGAGUGAGCACAGCAACAUGGUUCUUCAGGAGGCUAAUUUCCCUCGAAUCAGCAAUGGAGAUGGAGAAGGAAAAUUCCUCCUUUCCCCACCUGCCUCUCGGAGAGAAAAUCCAGAGGACUGGAAUGGACUUACAUCUUUGGUGGCAUUGUGACCAAUUGGAGCAAACCAUGCAUCAUUAAACCAUGGAAGACUCUCCUUUCCACGCCCAGAGAAAGGAAUAAACUUGGUACAACAGCAGCA